CCAGUCACUCUGGCAAUACUCCACUUUUGCAGUGAAGUCGGAUGUCAAGUGGUUUUCAUCGAUGUAUCGCAGCAGGUCACCAACUGAACGCAGCAUCACCACCUACAAAAUGAAGUCAUCCUGGCUGAAGCGGAAGCCCAGGUCAGUGCUUGAGGAUGGACUGGGGGCGGAGCCUAACAAGGUGGUGGGGCGGAGCACCAAGACCAAAUGUAGAUUACCAGGAAAUGAGGUCUGAAAGAAAACAACAGAUCAUACGCCCUGCAGAAUUAUCCACAAUGAGGAAAAGUUUUACGUCUUAUCUGCUCCAUAUCAACUGAUAAAACAACCAGAGAAGUAUCCUCGCCGCCCCGUUAGAAGCCUCCCACCUCCCCACCUCUCGGCGGAGCUUACCGCGGCCCGGCGCAGACGGGGGAAGCCCCGCAGCGGGUUGGACUCGGCCAUGGCUUCCUUGUUCUUGC